rnacentral:rRNA from 1 species
CUGCCCAGUGACAUAAGUUUAACGGCCGCGGUAUCCUAACCGUGCAAAGGUAGCAUAAUCACUUGCCUAUUAAUUGUAGGCUAGAAUGAAAGGAUUAACGAAAUAUAAACUGUCUCUAUUAGUAUAAUAUAAAUUAAUAUCUAUAUGAAGAAUUUUAGAUUAAGUCGAAGGACAAGAAGACCCCGUAGAGCUUUAUCUUAAAUAUAUUAUUAAAUGUAUAUCACGAUUUGGUUGGGGCGACCAAGGGAAUUCAUAACACCCUUAAAAAAAAAGAAAUAUUUAUCAAAUAAGUGAUCCUUACAAGUAGAUCUAAAAAACAAGCUACCUCAGGGAUAACAGGCUAAUCUUAUUUAAGAGUCCAUAUCUACAAUAAGGUUUGGCACCUCGAUGUUGGCUUAGGGAAUUAAGAUAGCGCAAAAGUUAUACAUAAGUGGUUUGUUCAACCAUUAAACCCCU